GCUGGGGAGCUCCAGCCUGGAAAGCCCCAGACUGUGGCCUAGCAUUGGGCUAACAGGUCCUCUGGCCAGAACUGUGAAAAUUGUGAUCAGAAGGAAGUAGCUGAGAUUCUCUGAGAUCAAGGCAGGCAAUGCACAUACAAGGUCUAACUGAGAUAUGCCUGAACCUCACUGAAGCACACCCACUUACAGCAGGUCUGAAUUUGGCCCACAUUCUGAAUACAGGGAUUCUUCCUAAGAAGCAACCAGGGCUGGUGGAACAGGAUCUGGGGCUUCAAAUAAAUCACCAUGAGAGUUGUCGAGAGAUAAAGUCAGAAGAGUUGACAGUACUGAAAGUUGUACUGGAAGGAAUAAAAAUAUGACUGGUUAAAUGACAAGCUUCAGGGAAUACAAACAAGCAUUUGGGGAGAGUUGUAACAGAGGAGAGAAAUUGAUUAUAGUGAUCUCAGCCUAAGAAGCCCUGGAAUGUAAUUCCUUUCCAAGAUGUGCUCAGUUGAGACGUAAUGACAUUGACUUGGCGUGCAAAAGAAAGUAGUAAGAAGAGCAUGGAAUGGAUUUUUUUAACACUAUCGAGCUGCACACGUAUGACUUUGUGACUACACAUAUUGGUGACUUCUUUCUCUGAAUGUCACUGUAAUUGGCAGUGAAAGUUGCUAGAUUUGUCACUGGUCACUUUGACACUUAUUUUCUCACUAGGGAAACCAAAAAGUUGCCAAAUCUAAUAGCUAAACUGGCAACACAAUUUUUAAAUGCAACUGUAAUUUGGAUUGGAUUGAAUAAGGACAGAAGCUGACUGAGAGAGACUGGUGGAGUCUACUGCCCCCUCAAAAGGUCAUUAUCCAUGAUGUGAGUUCUACAGAUUCAUUUGAAAGAGAUGUGAUGGCCUUGCCUGCACUGAAAUUUGUAAAGAAACCUCCAACCAUUUCUUUGAGCAGGAUUACAUGACCCGAGGACUAAAAAAUUAGCAGUCAGUUUAAGCAGUGCCCCUACUACUGCAAUGGUGGGAGAUGUCCCUAAAAAUCUCAUCCGUCUAGACAAUGCUUUAGAUGAUGGAGUGCUGUCUGUACUGACAUAAAGUGAGAUCUCAGGCUGAGACAUGUUGUGGAAUGUUCUUGUAAGAAUUUUGUAGAACUUUGAAUUAUAAAAUACCCAUGGUGUUUGUAUGAAGAACAUUAUGUACACAACAGAUAUUGUAUAAAGAUGUCCAUAACCCACUCUAAGUUUAGUUUCAGCAAAAGCUACAAAA